rnacentral:lncRNA from 1 species
CAGACCUCAAGGGAUUUGGCGAAACUGAGGAGGUCUUAAACCACUGGUUUUGUUAAGUUUCAUUACCCUGGACUCAAAGAGAAAGGCUCUGUGAUGACAGCCCUGAAUUUGUUAGGUGGUCUUCUGAGAAAUACAUUUGGAUCCUAAAGCAAAGGGAGGCAACCUGAAGAGGGUGGCUGGGAUGUGACACACAGCCUGGUGCUGCAUGCUGACCAUAUUUGGAGAUGGAAGGAUGGCUUUGAGGAUGUUUGUCUGCCUUCUCCAAGAAGAAAAGCAGGCGAAGUUUGGAUAUAAUUUACUCACUAGAAAGGCUUUCAUCUCUGCCCAUUUUGUCAACAUCCUCCAGAAAACACGAGUCAACUGACAGAGUGACACUGUUGGAGGUAGAAGAAGAAAGAAAAGAAAGAUUUCCCAGUGUUUAAGAGCAGAAAUAAUCUGGAUCUGGAAGUGUGACUAGUGUGUUGAAAUCCCACAGAGUGAUACUCCCCUGCAAAUCACAGCCAUGGGGAGGAUGUGAAAUUGUGUUUGAAGUUUGGUCUGCUCUUCUUGCAAGCAUGUUGACACCAUCUUCCUACUUACCUGCAUGAAAUAUCCAAAUCUCUCGUGACAAAUCCAGGCUGUUGAC